rnacentral:rRNA from 1 species
UACGAGGGGGGCAAAUGUUGUUCGGAAUCAUUGGGCGUAAAGGGUGCGUAGGCGGCGCGGUAAGUCGGGUGUGAAAUCUCGGAGCUUAACUCCGAAACUGCAUUCGAUACUGCCGUGCUUGAGGACUGGAGAGGAGACUGGAAUUUACGGUGUAGCGGUGAAAUGCGUAGAUAUCGUAAGGAAGACCAGUGGCGAAGGCGGGUCUCUGGACAGUUCCUGACGCUGAGGCACGAAGGCCAGGGGAGCAAACGGG